rnacentral:rRNA from 1 species
UACGUAGGGUGCAAGCGUUGUCCGGAAUUAUUGGGCGUAAAGAGCUCGUAGGCGGUUUGUCGCGUCGGCUGUGAAAACCUAGGGCUCAACUCUGGGCUUGCAGCCGAUACGGGCAAACUAGAAUUCGGUAGGGGAGACUGGAAUUCCUGGUGUAGCGGUGAGAUGCGCAGAUAUCAGGAGGAACACCGGUGGCGAAGGCGGGUCUCUGGGCCGAUAUUGACGCUGAGGAGCGAAAGCGUGGGGAGCGAACAGG